AAAUAAAUAAAUAAACUCUGAUGCUAGCAGAGCACACAUAAGAAAAGUAACUGCACUGGAUACCAAAGACGGGUGGACCUCUUUCUUAAUGUCCAGUGUCCUUUGUCUUAAGAUUUGGUGCAAUAAGU